AUUGAACGCUGGCGGCAUGCUUUACACAUGCAAGUCGAACGGUAACAGGCCGCAAGGUGCUGACGAGUGGCGAACGGGUGAGUAAUGCAUCGGAACGUGCCCAGUCGUGGGGGAUAACGCAGCGAAAGCUGCGCUAAUACCGCAUACGAUCUACGGAUGAAAGCGGGGGACUCGCAAGACCUCGCGCGAUUGGAGCGGCCGAUAUCAGAUUAGGUAGUUGGUGGGGUAAAGGCUCACCAAGCCAACGAUCUGUAGCUGGUCUGAGAGGACGACCAGCCACACUGGAACUGAGACACGGUCCAGACUCCUACGGGAGGCAGCAGUGGGGAAUUUUGGACAAUGGACGCAAGUCUGAUCCAGCCAUUCCGCGUGCAGGAUGAAGGCCCUCGGGUUGUAAACUGCUUUUGUACGGAACGAAAAGGUUUCUAUUAAUACUAGGAGCUCAUGACGGUACCGUAAGAAUAAGCACCGGCUAACUACGUG
rnacentral:rRNA from 1 species